rnacentral:rRNA from 1 species
UACAGAGGGUGCAAGCGUUAAUCGGAAUUACUGGGCGUAAAGGGCGCGUAGGCGGCUUAAUAAGUUGGUUGUGAAAUCCCUGGGCUUAACCUAGGAACUGCAACCAAGACUGUUGAGCUGGAGUGCGGUAGAGGGUAGUGGAAUUUCCGGUGUAGCGGUGAAAUGCGUAGAUAUCGGAAGGAACACCAGUGGCGAAGGCGACUACCUGGACUGACACUGACGCUGAGGCGCGAGAGCGUGGGGAGCAAACAGG